GCUCGGGUAGCUCAGUUGGUAGAGCAUUUCCCUGAAGAGGAAGGGGUCGCCGGUUCGAGCCCGGCCCCGAGCA
rnacentral:tRNA from 1 species